UGUACCCGGGUUGAGAACGGAAAGACCGCACUAGUCUAGGGUUGAGUAGGGAGAGUCGGAGAUGGCGACGCCGGCGGCGGCGCCAACCAUCUCCAAGAUCCCAGACGUCCAAGAUCCUCUCCGUGCUCGUCUCCAAGAUCGCCGUCGGCCGCUGCUCGUCUCCAGGAUCCCCGCCGGCCGCCGCCCGUCUGUCCAAUAUCCUCGCCGGUUCUCCCGUCAAGCACACUGCUGCCCUCCAAAUCCUCGAGAAAUCCUCGCCGGCUCUCCCGCCAAGCACGCUGCUGCCCUCCAAAUCCUCGAGAAAUCCUCGCCGGCUCUCCCGCCAAGCACGCUGCUGCCCUCCAAAUCCUCGAGAAAUCCUCGCCGGCUCUCCCAUCAAGCCUGCUUCCAAUCCGACUUAGGUAAAGGUUAGAAAGGUCCUGAUCACUCUGCCAUUGUUGCUUUGGAAUCACCAUUUGCAAUAUACAAUGUCCGUUUUGAGCUGGGCCUUGGUCAAUCAAUGAGGUCCAUUUUCUGCCAGAACUAUGUGGGAUUUUGUUUCUCCCAGAUUACUGAAAAGGGAGGCAUGCACUGGCUCCAAAUGUUUUGCUUUUGUGGGAGAACAGGAGCAUCCAAAUUGCAAAUACCCGUGUUAAACCGCUAGAAUUCUGGCUGUGGAAGACGCUUGGUGCUAUACCCAUGGAAACCGCUUGGCGUAGAGGCAGAAUUGAAAGCCUGGGAAGCAAUCACUCAAUCAGACUGGCACAUCAAUGUGCAGGUGGUAGUGGUAGUGGGAUGAAUAGGUGCUUAAGUACAUAGAAACAUGGUUGGUCGGCAUCCCUGAGUGUAUCAACAUAAAAAGCAGACUGAAGUAUCGAUCUGUUCUUACAAUCGUACUGCUUAAUCAGGGCAUGCCAAUCUUUGAAGGGAAUUAUUUUAAAAAAUGUAAUCACUAACUCAAUACCGGAAUGCAGUAAUCAAGGCUUCAAGCGAUAUACCAGUACAUUUUUCGGACCAA